rnacentral:rRNA from 1 species
GACGAACGCUGGCGGCGUGCCUAAUACAUGCAAGUUGAGCGCUGAAGGUUGGUACUUGUACCAACUGGAUGAGCAGCGAACGGGUGAGUAACGCGUGGGGAAUCUGCCUUUGAGCGGGGGACAACAUUUGGAAACGAAAGCUAAUACCGCAUAAAAACUUUAAACACAAGUUUUAAGUUUGAAAGAUGCAAUUGCAUCACUCAAAGAUGAUCCCGCGUUGUAUUAGCUAGUUGGUGAGGUAAAGGCUCACCAAGGCGAUGAUACAUAGCCGACCUGAGAGGGUGAUCGGCCACAUUGGGAAUGAGACACGGCCCAAACUCCUACGGGAGGCAGCAGUAGGGAAUCUUCGGCAAUGGACGAAAGUCUGACCGAGCAACGACGCGUGAGUGAAGAAGGUUUUCGGAUCGUAAAACUCUUUUGGUAGAGAAGAACGUUGGUGAGAGUGGAAAGCUCAUCAAGUGACGGUAACUACCCAGAAAGGGACGGCUAACUACGUG